UGGUUCUGGCAUNGAUGAAGAACGCAGCGAAACGCGAUAAGUAAUGUGAAUUGCAGAAUUUAGUGAAUCAUCGAAUCUUUGAACGCAUAUUGCGCCCCUUGGCAUUCCGAGGGGCAUGCCUGUCUGAGCGUCAUUAGCAACCCUUGAGCACUGCUCAGUGUUGGGUCGGACUAUCGUCGUCCCUAACUUCAUUGGCGUCGCCUAACCGAUCCAAGCGUAGUAAUUUCUCUCGCUCAGGGUCGUGACGGUGUCCAGCCACUAAACCACAUUCUAAAGGUUGACCUCAGAUCAGGUAGGGAUACUCGCUGA
rnacentral:misc_RNA from 1 species